AUGUUAUCAGUCCAUACAGGAGUUAUUAGCAGACAUCAGUCCCAUAGAUAUGGGCCAUCUCCACCUGCUAGAUUGUUCAGAAGGUUGUUAUCAUCCAUCCAGAUGGAGGAUCACUAACAGGAGCGUGGGAAGACUCCAGAAUCCACUCCGGCUGGAAUCCGGUGGACACAGCAGUGUUUACAGAACAGUUCUUCACAGUCGCUGUCCACAUGGGUCAGUGGGACCAAGCAGCACUCUGCUAAUGUGAGACUCUGACCAGCAACAUCCAGCAAGACCCAAGCAGCGUUUUCUAUCUCCCAGCUGGAGUUUUUUGUUUGUCUGUGACUGGAGAGUCAGAUUUUUGUUGAGGCUGGAGGAACAGCCUCACACUUGCAGAGGUUAAUACACUCUACUGAUCCCUGAUGGGAGCAUCAUCACCUCUGCCAACAAAGAAGCCUGGUGGAUGUUUGUUUGCAGUCUGAUGAUGGGAGAUCAUGCUGUGCAUCUUCAAAGUUUGUCUCUUGAUUAUUAUUCAUACACAGUAAUGUGAAGCAUGCUCAUAUCUAGUAUAACUGAACCAACCUGGUGCUCUUCAUUUAUGGAGGCUGUUGAGUCUGAAUGUUGGAUGUUGUGUAUCUCGUGUUCUCUGGGCUUUGUUGUCCUCAGUCUUUUUGCAGGAUCAGAAAACAAAACCAGAAUGACCGUAAAUGUUUCUUCUCCAAUUGGAUGAUGAUAAGACCGUGACAUGGGAUGCCACCUUUAGUCUUGUGAUGAAGCAAAGCUCAGGAAGAAGUAUGAUUAAAUGGUACCCACAUGUGUGCUGCUGAGAAGGAUGUACAGGGGCACCUGCAGCCAAAUCCAAGUCUCCUCAGCAACUUCAGGUCUGUCAGCGUGCUGAGGUCACAGAAACAAGAGAAGAAGCUUCAGACUUCAGAGUGUUGUUUACAGUUUUCUGUCAUCAUGAUCUCCCCUGAAGUUUAUCAAGCAAGGAGCAGUUUGUGCUCACAGAUGGUGACGGUGUGGAGAGACGGUGGUGUUUCCUCAGAAGAACUAGCAGAGUCACAAAGGGCACGAGUCCUUCUCACCACCUUGACUUGCUGACUGAUGCUCAUCUGCACUGCACAGAGGAAAUCAACUGACCGAGGAGUGUUUCUGAGUGAGGGAGAGAGGAGUCAUCAUCCAGGUAAAGUGACGUGGAUCAGUGGAUACACUUGUCUCACCUUUAAAGGAGAUACUCUUAGAGAGAGACGAAUCGUAAUGAUCAUGAUUACAAUGAUGACAGCGAGCGGAACUAAGACUGUAAAAAUCCACGACCAGAAUGUUUAGAUGCUUUCUAAUUAUUCAUGAAUACUGAGAGCCUCUUUCUGUGUUUUGUCUGUUUUGUUUUUUUUUACCUCAUUUGUUACUAACAAAGAUCACCAAACUCACACAGUUUACAUUCUGUAUGUUUCCAUCUUUACCAGCCACACUCUGCCUGCAAUUAAGAAAAUAAUCCUUAGCAAUCGUCAUUUUUCUCUUUUGUAAUUGAUGAUAAUUCAGUGAAUAUACUGCGCUGCUUCCUUUUAUUGCGUCUCAUAUUGCUUUAAGUUUUUCAGUGUACAGUUAUUUUUUUACUUCUGUUUGAAUUAAGAUAAGAUAAGAUAACCUUUAUUAGUCCCACACGUGGGAAAUUUCUCUGUAUGUUUGACCCUGUAGACUG